GUGUGUAGUGCAACCCUGUGGGAGUUUCCAGUUCCACUUGAAGGGAAGGAUAACCUAUGGAAGACAGUACAUUUGGACUGACUGGAAUGAAUUACGAGCACAUCAAACAAAAACACAUGGAAUGACUUAAAUUAUAUCAGAGAGAAAAGUCAACAAUGGUCUGGUCAUGGUGAGGAAAGGAAGUUUUACAGAAUUUCAACGAAGAGGAGAGACAGGAAAAAAAAAAAAAAAAUGCAACCCAGCACAUUUUCUGAAUUAUUAGUCUACAAAACUAAAGCCUCAUUUUUCCAUCAGUCCAAGCGGACUUCGUGGUAACUGAAGGCUGGCCACCCCGGGAACUCUCGGACAACGACGUGUUUCUGGAGAAACACCGCAGGGAGGAUUCUACAGGAUCGUUCAUUUUGGCAAAAACAACAAACUUGGCCAUAUAUGGAACACAUAUUAAUUCUCUGUACAGUUGCGUGGCUAACCCCACAGUUUCUAAAACUUGAUGGCAGUCUGCAAGCCAAAAUCUGAUAAAAAACAAACAAAGCCCAAACAAAACAAAACAAAAUAAUCACUGCAAACUAGCAUCAACAGCAAGUACAGCAACAACAUGACCAAACCUGUGAUGCUGCAGAGAAGGCGCAGAUUGGGUGUGGCGUCCCCCUUGUACCCAUUGGACACGCCUUCUCCUGAGGGCGGGG